rnacentral:rRNA from 1 species
GCAUAUCAAUAAGCGGAGGAAAAGAAACCAACAGGGAUUGCCUCAGUAACGGCGAGUGAAGCGGCAACAGCUCAAAUUUGAAAUCUGGCUCCUUCGGGGCCCGAGUUGUAAUUUGGAGAAGAUGCUUCGGGUGUGGCCCCGGUCUAAGUUCCUUGGAACAGGACGUCACAGAGGGUGAGAAUCCCGUACGUGACCGGUGGCCGCCCCCGUGUGAAGCUCUUUCGACGAGUCGAGUUGUUUGGGAAUGCAGCUCAAAAUGGGUGGUAAAUUUCAUCUAAAGCUAAAUAUUGGCCAGAGACCGAUAGCGCACAAGUAGAGUGAUCGAAAGAUGAAAAGCACUUUGGAAAGAGAGUUAAACAGUACGUGAAAUUGUUGAAAGGGAAGCGCUUGCAACCAGACUUGCGCGCGGCCGAUCAUCCGGUGUUCGCACCGGUGCACUCGGUCGCGCUCAGGCCAGCAUCGGUUUGGGUGGUUGGAUAAAGGCCUCGGGAAUGUGGCUCUCUUCGGGGAGUGUUAUAGCCCGAGGUGCAAUGCAGCCUACCCGGACCGAGGACCGCGCUUCGGCUAGGAUGCUGGCGUAAUGGUUGUAAGCGACCCGUCUUGAAACACGGACCAAGGAGUCUAACAUCUAUGCGAGUGUUUGGGUGUCAAACCCAUACGCGUAAUGAAAGUGAACGGAGGUGAGAACCCUUAAGGGUGCAUCAUCGACCGAUCCUGAUGUCUUCGGAUGGAUUUGAGUAAGAGCAUAGCUGUUGGGACCCGAAAGAUGGUGAACUAUGCCUGAAUAGGGUGAAGCCAGAGGAAACUCUGGUGGAGGCUCGCAGCGGUUCUGACGUGCAAAUCGAUCGUCAAAUUUGGGCAUAGGGGGCGAAAGACUAAUSGAACCAUCUAGUAGCUGGUUCCUGCCGA